rnacentral:rRNA from 1 species
UACGUAGGGGGGCAAGCGUUGUCCGGAAUCAUUGGGCGUAAAGCGCGCGUAGGCGGCCCGGUAAGUCCGCUGUAAAAGUCCAAGGCUCAACCUUGGGAUGCCGGUGGAUACUGUCGAGCUCGAGUCCGGAAGAGGAGUGUGGAAUUCCUGGUGUAGCGGUGAAAUGCGCAGAUAUCAGGAGGAACACCAAUGGCGAAGGCAGCACUCUGGGACGUGACUGACGCUGAGACGCGAAAGCGUGGGGAGCAAACAGG